rnacentral:rRNA from 1 species
UGGGGAAUCUUGGACAAUGGGCGCAAGCCUGAUCCAGCCAUGCCGCGUGAGUGAAGAAGGCCUUCGGGUUGUAAAGCUCUUUUACCAGGGACGAUAAUGACGGUACCUGGAGAAUAAGCCCCGGCAAACUUCGUGCCAGCAGCCGCGGUAAUACGAAGGGGGCUAGCGUUGUUCGGAAUUACUGGGCGUAAAGCGCACGUAGGCGGACUUGUCAGUCAGGGGUGAAAUCCCAAGGCUCAACCUUGGAACUGCCUCCGAUACAGCAAGCCUAGAGAUCGGGAGAGGUGAGUGGAAUUCCUAGUGUAGCGGUGAAAUGCGUAGAUAUCAAGAGGAACACCUGAGGUGAAGACGGGUUGCUGGGCUGACACUGACGCUGAGGCACGAAAGCGUGGGGAGCGAACAGGAUUAGAUACCCGCGUAGUCCCUGAGCGGGCUGGCAAGGCGCAU